CUUAUCAUGCAGUCGAGGGGCAGCACGGUUAGCAAUAACUGGUGGCGACCGGCGCACGUGUGCGUAACACGUAUACAAUCUACCUUAAACAGGGGGAUAGCCUUUCGAAAGAGAGAUUAAUACCCCGUAAUAAAUUGAACGGCAUCGUUUGAUUUUGAAAGCUCCGGCGGUUUGAGAUGAGUAUGCGUCUGAUUAGCUAGUUGGUGAGGUAACGGCUCACCAAGGCGACGAUCAGUAGGGGAUCUGAGAGGACUAACCCCCACACUGGUACUGAGACACGGACCAGACUCCUACGGGAGGCAGCAGUAAGGAAUAUUGGUCAAUGGGGGCAACCCUGAACCAGCCAUGCCGCGUGCAGGAUGACGGCCCUAUGGGUUGUAAACUGCUUUUAUACCAGAGAAAACCCGAGUACGUGUACUCGGUUGAUAGUAUGGUAAGAAUAAGCAUCGGCUAACUUCGUGCCAGCAGCCGCGGUAAGACGAAGGAUGCAAGCGUUAUCCGGAUUCAUUGGGUUUAAAGGGUGCGUAGGCGGACUUGUAAGUCAGUGGUGAAAUCUCUUUGCUUAACAAAGAAACUGCCAUUGAUACUGCAGGUCUAG
rnacentral:rRNA from 1 species